rnacentral:rRNA from 1 species
UACGAAGGGUGCAAGCGUUAAUCGGAAUUACUGGGCGUAAAGCGUGCGUAGGCGGUUUGUUAAGUCUGUUGUGAAAGCCCCGGGCUCAACCUGGGAAUGGCGAUGGAUACUGGCAGGCUAGAGUGUGUCAGAGGAUGGUGGAAUUCCCGGUGUAGCGGUGAAAUGCGUAGAGAUCGGGAGGAACAUCAGUGGCGAAGGCGGCCAUCUGGGACAACACUGACGCUGAGGCACGAAAGCGUGGGGAGCAAACAGG